GACGAACGCUGGCGGCGUGCCUAAUACAUGCAAGUAGAACGCUGAAGGAGGAGCUUGCUUCUCUGGAUGAGUUGCGAACGGGUGAGUAACGCGUAGGUAACCUGCCUGGUAGCGGGGGAUAACUAUUGAAAACGAUAGCUAAUACCGCAUAAUAGUAGAUGUUGCAUGACAUUUGCUUAAAAGGUGCAAUUGCAUCACUACCAGAUGGACCUGCGUUGUAUUAGCUAGUUGGUGGGGUAACGGCUCACCGAGGCGACGAUACAUAGCCGACCUGAGAGGGUGAUCGGCCACACUGGGACUGAGACACGGCCCAGACUCCUACGGGAGGCAGCAGUAGGGAAUCUUCGGCAAUGGACGGAAGUCUGACCGAGCAACGCCGCGUGAGUGAAGAAGGUUUUCGGAUCGUAAAGCUCUGUUGUAAGAGAAGAACGAGUGUGAGAGUGGAAAGUUCACACUGUGACGGUAUCUUACCAGAAAGGGACGGCUAACUACGUG
rnacentral:rRNA from 1 species